AGCAGCCGCGGUAAUUCCAGCUCCAAUAGCGUAUAUUAAAGUUGUUGCAGUUAAAAAGCUCGUAGUUGGAUUUCUGGUUUAAUGCACCUGGCCCGCGGCCACUAGGCUUGUGAGUGCCGGCGCGCGUUUACCAUCCUUCCAGCAACGCUACCCUUAACUGGGCGGUGGAACUGGAUCUUUUACUUUGAAAAAAU
rnacentral:rRNA from 1 species